rnacentral:rRNA from 2 species
GAUCCAGCCAUGCGGCGUGCAGGAUGAAGGCCUUCGGGUUGUAAACUGCUUUUGUACGGAACGAAAAGACUUUUGGUUAAUACCUGGGGUCCAUGACGGUACCGUAAGAAUAAGCACCGGCUAACUACGUGCCAGCAGCCGCGGUAAUACGUAGGGUGCAAGCGUUAAUCGGAAUUACUGGGCGUAAAGCGUGCGCAGGCGGUUAUAUAAGACAGAUGUGAAAUCCCCGGGCUCAACCUGGGAACUGCAUUUGUGACUGUAUAGCUAGAGUACGGCAGAGGGGGAUGGAAUUCCGCGUGUAGCAGUGAAAUGCGUAGAUAUGCGGAGGAACACCGAUAGCGAAGGCAAUCCCCUGGGCCUGUACUGACGCUCAUGCACGAAAGCGUGGGGAGCAAACAGGAUUAGAUACCCUGGUAGUCCACGCCCUAAACGAUGUCAUCUGGUUGUUGGGUCUUCACUGACUCAGUAACGAAGCAACGCGUAAGUUGACCGCUUGGGAG